CCCAAAAGGAGACUGGAGCCCCUCAGUGAGGAUGGGAGUACAGGUGUAGAUGAUCAGAGUCCAGGAAAAAGCCUGGUGCUGAGGCCCUCACAGAAGAAGAAAAGAUGUAAAAAGUCCAAAACAGUGGAAGCAAUGGUGCCACCCAUAGUAAAGGUGAAGAGACCAUGGAGUGAAGCAGAGAGGAGUGCGGUAAACAAACACAUGGCAAAGUUUAUUGCU